rnacentral:misc_RNA from 1 species
CGGCGGAGUUCAAGGGGAACGUGGUCGCGCUGCUGACCGAGAUCGAACAGUUGCAGGUCGAGCCGGAUCUCGGCGCCAAGAUCAUCAUCGACGAACGCUCAGGCAUCAUCGUGAUGGGCCGCGAUGUGCGCGUCGCCACCGUCGCGGUCGCACAGGGCAAUCUCACCGUCUCCAUUUCGGAAAGCCCGCAGGUCAGCCAGCCCGCGCCGUUCUCGCGCGGUCGCACUGUGGUCACACCGAAUACACGGGUCGGCGUGCAGGAG